rnacentral:rRNA from 1 species
UACAGAGGUCCCAAGCGUUGUUCGGAUUCACUGGGCGUAAAGGGUGCGCAGGUGGGUUUGCAAGUUUGAUGUGAAAGCCCCGGGCUUAACCCGGGAAUGGCAUUGAAUACUGCAGAUCUGGAGGAUUGGAGGGGGACUGGAAUUCUUGGUGUAGCAGUGAAAUGCGUAGAUAUCAAGAGGAACACCAGUGGCGAAGGCGAGUCCCUGGACAAUACCUGACACUGAGGCACGAAAGCUAGGGGAGCAAACAGGG